rnacentral:lncRNA from 1 species
GAAGAGCAGGAAGCAGUUAACAGAAGCUUUGUAAACUCUGAACUCAGACUCUGUGCUAGGACCCGCGGCUGCGCGGGUUUCACAGGAAAGUUAGAUGACGACACGGUCUUGCUUCUCCUUUCCAGUCACCCUCAAAGAGUCCAAGGAAGUAAGCCUUCCCGUAUCUUGUUCUCGGUUGAAGGACCCGUUGAAGCCCCUCUAUUCCUAAGGAAGAAAAGAAAAACCGUUCUCCAGGAGAUGAUCUGAAAGAGUCAAGCUUUGGAUUCUAUAUGUCUUGAAGCCGUCAUUUGAGUGACCCUUGCCCUUGUGCAUUAAGAAUUCUCCAGCAGGAAACUGAACAGUAUUGAUUAGAUUUGAAGAUAUGGCUGGAGAGUAGGCUCGUCAGUUAAGGUUAUAUACCACUCUUGCAGAGGACUGAGUUCAGGUCCCAGCACCCACAAUGCCUGAGACUCUUGCUUUGGGAAUCCAAGUUAUCUGCCUGUACCUACAUACCCCGCACCCCAAGACACAUACACCUACGCAUAAUUAAAAAUAAAUCUUUUUAAAAAACUGAA